CCUACGGGAGGCAGCAGUGGGGAAUUUUGGACAAUGGGCGCAAGCCUGAUCCAGCAAUGCCGCGUGAGUGAAGAAGGCCUUCGGGUUGUAAAGCUCUUUUGUCAGGGAAGAAACGGUGGGGGCUAAUAUCUCCUACUAAUGACGGUACCUGAAGAAUAAGCACCGGCUAACUACGUGCCAGCAGCCGCGGUAAUACGUAGGGUGCAAGCGUUAAUCGGAAUUACUGGGCGUAAAGCGUGCGCAGGCGGUUUUGUAAGUCUGUCGUGAAAGCCCCGGGCUCAACCUGGGAAUUGCGAUGGAGACUGCAAGGCUUGAAUCUGGCAGAGGGGGGUAGAAUUCCACGUGUAGCAGUGAAAUGCGUAGAGAUGUGGAGGAACACCGAUGGCGAAGGCAGCCCCCUGGGUCAAGAUUGACGCUCAUGCACGAAAGCGUGGGGAGCAAACAGGAUUAGAUACCCUGGUAGUCCACGCCCUAAACGAUGUCUACUAGUUGUCGGGUUUUAAUUAACUUGGUAACGCAGCUAACGCGUGAAGUAGACCGCCUGGGGAUCGGUCGCAAGAUUAAAACNAAUGAUGACGNUGAGAGNGACGAGACGACGACGAGGAGGAGG
rnacentral:rRNA from 1 species